UAAGUGUAUACGGAUGUAAAUAACAUUGUCACUGCGUUAUUUUAAAUAAACCAUGGUGCAUACGCAACGCGGAUGUUAUUGUUUUGAGACUUUUAAGUUGCGGGAUUCACAGUUUUGUUAUUUACACUUACAGUUAACGAAUAUAUUCUUAUAUUAUAGUUAAGGAAUAUCGAAGAGUUCAUUGAUAGAUCAAGUGAAAAGUGGGAAAUUCAAAUGUUGUAAUUUUCAUUAUUUCGUACCUUGGAUUAUUCGAACUAAUAAUAAAUAAGGUACAACAUAGCAGUACAAACUAUAACAAAGGAGGACCGUGGCCCAGUGUGGGACUUCAUUUUUAAAGUUAAGGAGGUAAAUGUUGAAUGCAAGGCCGUAUGCAGGAAUGUUGGACUUGAAACACUGAGCUGGUAUCCUGGUGUGGAGAUUUUAACCUGGUAUUUGAUAAAAUUGGCAACAGCAGCAAUGACCACAGUGCUUUGACAACGGAUAAUGGCUUACUUGAGACCUCAGAGAAUGAGUGACAGUUGUAUGAAUAUGUGUGAAGUGUGGAGACCACCCCCGCUACCAUACAAAACUGGAGUGGAUUUGAAGGUUUUGAAGACAAUUUAUGCUGAUAAUCUGGCCUACAUCAAUUACACAAGUUGCUGCCCAGGAUAUAGAUAUAUUGAUGGUUCAGAUAUCAGUAGUACUACAGCAGCAACAUCAAUAUCAAGGGAAGUGACACAACCUGUUACUUUUAAGACGCAGGAAGCCUCAACAAUAUCAAGAGAAGUGACAUCAACUGUUACUGAGUUGUUUGAGUCUGAGCAAGCAUCAACAAUAUCAAGAGAAGUGACAUCAACUGUGUUUUUUAAGUCCGAGGAAGCAUCAACAAUAUCAAGAGAAGUGACAUCAACUGUGUUUUUUAAGUCCGAGGAAGCAUCAACAAUAUCAAGAGAAGUGACAUCAACUGUGUUUUUUAAGUCCGAGGAAGUUGCAAAUGCCGGCCUAGGAGCAGGAGUUAUUAUUGCCCUGAUCGUUGGUCUACUUAUACUGCUGGCGGCAAUCAUUGCAUUUGUUUUGUUUGUGAAAAAGAAAUACUACAACAACCGGCAAUCCAGCUGGGCACAUUGUUUCACAAAAUACACCACCAUCCACUGCUUAGACUACAAAGCUUGCAAAUGCUGGCCCAGAAUGAAUAAGCGUCCCAACCCAACUGAAACUGACAUCAAACAAAUAAAUAGUGAUGGGGCAAAUGGACAAAAGUGCAUUCCACCUGAAGAGAUUAAAAUAACAGUGCUUAAUGCAGAAGUUCACAGAAAUGGAAGAACAAGUAUGAGUGAAAAUGCAACAUCCUGUGGUAACAACCAGGUACAAGUAAUACCUAGCAGAAUUGUGUUUAAGGGAGCCAGUGAAAGUGGGGAAGUACAGUUUAGAGAGGAUAAUGCUAUUGAAAAUUGGGGAGAACAAGUUGAAGAUGAUACUGGUAGUGAAAGAGGGGAAGAAAAGCUUAUAGACGAUAUUGCUAUUGAAAAUGGGGGACAAAAGGUUAGAGAGGAUAGUGCUAGUAAAAAUGGGGGAGAAAAGGGUAGAGAGGAUACUGCAUGGAUGAAAAGAAAACAAUGUGAUAAACUUGAACAAAUGCUAACACCUGUUGAGAAUGUGGAAGCAGAUGAGAUUGAUGAAAUCCAAAAUAAAGGGCAUCACAAAUCUGCGAAUGAUAAUUGUUUAAGAACUCUACCUGACUUGAUUGCGUACAAUUUUCUGAACUCAAAUAAAAAAAAUGUAAACACUCCAUCAACUUCAAAUAUUCAUGAUGUUUUAAGACAUUCUCAAGGCGUCAAAUCAAAUGGUUUGCCCCCACUUGACAGUCAAUCUGUAAAACACAGAAUUUCAGAUUCACAAGUUAUUUCACCAAAAAAGAAAAAGGGCUUGUUUCGUAAGUCUGCACCUGAUCCUACAUGCUAAUGUGCAUUAUGAAUGCAUAAUUGACUUUUGUUUUAAUGAAACCAUCCAGCAAAAUUGACUUUCAAGUACUGUUGUAAUUAUGCUGUAUUGAUUUGUUUCUCAUCAGUUGUUAUUUAUCCAUUGAUGAAAACCUGUCUUGUUAUAAUCAAAAGACAUGGAUUUCACUUCUGUCUUGUUAUAUAUUUAUUUACUUAUUUCAUGUCCUUAUUGAUAAAUUGCCAUUGAUUUCAUACCUGUCAUGUUAUAUUGGUCUAUAUUUCAUAUAUAUACCUCUCCAUGGCCUCUUUUUUUCUCAGUAAGUUGUAAUAUGGUCUUAGGUGGUUGGGUAUAUAACGGUGCACUGGUGUGUUAUCUGUGAUUGUUUAUGUACAUACUGUAUGCUACCUUAUUAUUAGUUCACAUGAGCAGAACAUGCUCUUGGGGAGCCUCUUGUCCAUGAUGUGGGGCAUCAACAUUUGAAUUCAAUUAUCUUCUACUGGACAGUCUUAAAGAUAAUUUUUUUCACCAAACAUAGGAAUGAUCUUCAAAUGGCACUUUUUCAAUAAUAUUUAAAUCAUUAAGAUCUGCAGCACAAGUUUAUAGGUCACACAAUAUAUAAAUGCAUUUGAAUAAAGUAAAAUCUUUUUUUUAAAAUCUGUAAUUAUGAACAGAACCACAACCACAUUUGGUAAAUCAUUGCAUGGUUGAUGUGGACUUGGUGAACAAAUAACUUGAAAAAUUCUCUUAUACAGUAUGAGUCUAAGAUACACAGAAACCUUUGUUAUUUGUUUUGUUGUAUUAUUUCAUCUUUUCUUAAACCAUAUGUUACAUGUACAUCAUUUAUAAUAUACUUGAAACUUUUAAAGCAAGUUUCAUUUUGUACAUAUAUGUACCCGGUAAAUGCUGGCAACAUUGGCAUUUGAAAUUGAAGGUAGAUUGACACUUUGACAAUUGUAUUAACAUUUUCCAUAAUUAAGUUCAUGAAUGACACAGAUAUUAUUAAGCAUGUAUAAUGUGCUGAAUUUCAUUCUUCCAUUGAUGACACAUGUUAUAAUUUUAAUAUAUAUGACAAAAAUUCAGCACAUUAGAAAAAAAGACAUGCAAUAUCGCUUAUUACAUGAUUAAUUUACUUCAGUAUUGAAAUGUGCAAUUUUGUAGGCAUGCCUUGUAUUUAGAUGGGACAAUUUUAUGUUCCAUAAAUGAUAAGCUUUGUUUAUGUUUGUUCUUAGAAAUUAGUAAAUCUUAUAAUAUUGGUAUUUAUAUUUAGUGGCGAUAUUUAGCAGAAAUACCAUUCUAUACUGUGUGUUCCUUAAAUAGGGUAAGGGUUAGCAAUUUCAAUGCAAGCACUUACCCAUGGUGAUAGGUAAAUAUAUAUGAGUUGUUCUUCAAAACAUUCCUGUUUGCCUUAUGUAGAUAUGUGUAUGUGUUUCAAAGUUUAUGAAGUCCUUCCACACCUGAGGCUGCAUUAUGUGUGGACUUUGGAGCGUGCCCAAGACCUGCUACAUGUACCUAUGGAGCUUACUAGUCCCUGAACGUAGGGAUGAAUGAGAAUUACUGAUGCAAGUACCAGCUACUUAAGUAGUUACAAACAGAUUUUCCAAGAUUUUAAUGCCCCGAAGGAGGGCAUGUAGUGAUCAGACCGUCCGUCCGUCUGUCUGUCUGUCCUUCCGUCACACUUUGCGUUUAGGUUUCGCGUUUAGGUUUUGAAAAAUGCUUAUAACUUCUAUGGCGCUUCAGAUAGCAACUUGAUAUUUGGCAUGCAUGUGUAUCUCAUGGAGCUGCACAUUCUGAGUGGUGAAAGGUCCAGGUCAUCCUUUAAGGUCAAAGGUCAAAUAUAUGGCUUCAAAGCGGCGCAGAAGGGGGCAUUGUGUUUCUGACAAACACAUCUCUUGUUGUGGUCCUGUGUUUUGGGAGGUGGAGUAUACAGAGAAAGACUUCACCUGUCUAAAAAGGUGACCAGCAACCAAAUCCACAUGCUUUUUGAAACGUUGACUGAACCCAGGUUGCCUAGGUGAGGAGCACUUGUACAAACCACUGCUCUACAAGGCUACACGGAAGGCCCAUUAUGCCUGUUAAAGGACAACCUGUUCUUGUAUUACAUCAGAUUGACAUAUACCUGACUAAUCUUCCAUCAUUUAGUGCUUCUUAUAUUGUCAAACAAUUUACAUGUAUCAACAUUCAACAUGAUCACUAAUUGGAAAAUAGAUAGCUCUUAAUCGUUAAUUUGACAAAUGGCAGGUUCAUAUUCAAUGUAAUUACAGUCAUUUUACUCGAUGUGCUUUGUACAGUUUUAAACAUGCUUACUGCUUUUCAUCGGUGUGAUGAGUUAGACCUAUAGAAUUUAUCUUAUAUGAAAGUUAAUAUCUGUUUAUAAUAUACAGUUUUAUUUAAUCUCAAUUAAUGAUGCAUCACUUGGCUGUAAACUUAUUUAUAAGCUAUUACUAAAAAAAUCAUGUAAAUUGUAUAGAAGACUUCAUGUGUAGUUAAUAUAUGAUUUCCAAACAAUUAGUUUUUACCAAUGUCUUAAAUAUGUUCACUGCUUAAGGUGUAGAUUGUUUUGUUGGUAGUUGAAAAAGCAGAUAAAAUUUGGUAUACAAAACUUUAAUAUUGAUUUUAAUGUUUAAGUCAAAAGGGCAGCUAGGAUUUUUUUGUUAAAAAAUAACAUUUUUCAAAAUUAAGUUUAAAGUAUCGAGUUUUAAAAGAAAAUACAAAUAAAGAAAAACUUUGUUUUUAUUGUGUGUUAAUUACUGUUCUGUGGAUGUCAGGGUUGUCUAUGUUCCUUCUGCAGAAUGUCACGAUUACCUUGUAUAUGCUUAAUUUAUAGCUUGUGUUAUGAAUAAUUGCUUUGCAUUUAUACCCUUCAUGGUAAUCGGAAUGAGAUCAACUCUUAAGGGAUGGGGCUUAAUGCAUAACAUAUGGUGUUACAUUCCAUCCAUGAUUGAGCCUUAACCCUUUGCAUGCUGGGAAAUUUGUCGUCUGCUAAAAUGUCGUCUGCAGAAUUUCUAAAAUUAGCAUUUUCUUCGAUUUUUUUUCAAAGAACACUAUCAGAAUAGCAAACAGUUUGGAUCCUGAUGAGACGCCACGUUCUGUGGCGUCUCAUCUGGAUCCAAACUGUUUGCAAAGGACUUCAAAAUUCGGUUCCCGCACUGAAAGGAUUAACAUUUGUUGAGGUUUAUUUACACAUACUUGUCAUGUUGUCUAAUAUAAGAUUUUAAUGCCCCCCGGAUCGAAUGAUCGGGGAUAUAUUGUUUUUGGCCUGUCUGUCUGUAAUUGUAUGUGUGUGUGUCUGUCAUUGUAUGUGUGUGUCUGUCCAAAUACUUUAACCUUGGUCAUAACUUUUGCAAUAUUGAAGAUAACAUCUUGAUAUUUGGCAUGCAUGUGUAUCUCACGGAGCUGCACAUUUUGGGUGGUGACAGGUCAAGGUUAAAGGUCAUUUAUUUCUAAAAUAGCUGCCAUGCGGCUUAAAAGCACUGUAUGGGGCAUUGUGUUUCACAAACACAGCUCUUGUUUUAGUGGGGUUUUUUGUCUUGAAUAACAUGUUCUUCCCUUAUAAAUCAUUAUUCAAUAUAUAAGUUGGAUUUGUUGAGUUGUUCACUCUGAACUUAACAUGUAAAUUAUGUAAUUGUAAAGUUAAUUUCUCAAUUCAUAACUAUAAACAAUUGUCGUAAUUGUCUUUUGAAUACAUGAAAUUACAUGUUCUGUUGAUUGAUAUUCUAAGGAGAAACAUGUUUCAAACAUAUUUUUAUGUUGUGGAUGUGCUCUGUUUAUUGAAUAAUGAAAAUUGACUUUUAAAGGGAUCUUUUCACGUUUUGGUAAAUUGACAAAAUUGAAAAAAGUUGUUUCAGAUUCGCAAAUUUUCGUUUAAGUUAUGAUAUUUGUGAGGAAACAGUAUUACUGAACAUUUACCAUGGUCUAAUAUAGCCAUUAUAUGCAUCUUUUGACGAUUUUAAAAACUAGAAAUUAUAAAGCGUUGCAACGCGAACAAUUGAAUAAUUGGAGUGUUCUGUUGUUGUCGUUAAAUUUUGUGACACUACGAAGAUUGCUUUUAUAAGGUAUAAAAUACGUCUCUCAUGUAUACUCGGCACAAUAGCCGAGAGGGUAAAAGCGUUUUUACUUCAGGACCUCGGCAAGACUCCAGGGGUCACUGGUUCGAAACCUGCACCAGGCAAAGUUUUUCUCCUUUUUUUAAUUUUAUUCUUUAUUUUUUACUGCAGCUUUUACGAUCAAAUGUUUACAUUUAUCAAUAGAAAGCAUUUAAUGAAUAACUUCAGAACAUGCCAAAAUCUGUGAAAAGGCCCCUUUAAAAGUUUUACUCAACCAUAUAUAAUUGCCAGUUUGUCCUUCCGCACUAUCCGUACGAACUAAAUUCUUGUCCUGAGCAAAACUCUAAAACUACUGAAGGAAUUUACUUGAAACUUGAAAUAUAAACAGAUGGCAACUAGGAGAAGUGCAGUGACCAAGAACCAUUACUCUAUCUACCUUAGUUUAUUUAAAUUAUCUUCCCUUUUAUAUAAUUUAAAAGUGAAUUUUUGUCCAGAGCACAUCUCUAAAUCUACUAAAGGGAUUUACUUGAAACUUGAAAUAUAGACAGAUGGCAAGUAGGAGAAGUGCAGUGACUAAGAACCAUAACUCUUUCUACCUAAAGUCACUUGGGUCAAGGUCACCAAAGCUAAUAAUAGAUUUUCCUUCACACUUUUGUUACAGUUUCUCAUAGCGCCUUCAAUACUUUACCGAUCUCUUUCAUAUUUGGCAUAUAGGUACCUUGCAUGGACCUCUACCUUUUGAUGAUGUUUGAGGUCACUGGGGUCAACGUCACCAAGGCUAAUAAUACAUUUUUCCGUCACACUUUUGUUACAGUUUCUCAUAGCACCUUCAAUACUUUACUGAUCUCUUUCAUAUUUGGCAUUUUGGUACCUUGCAUGGACCUCUACCUUUUGAUGACGUUUGAAGUUACUGGGGUCAAGGUCAAGGUCACUAAAGCUAAUAAUAGAUUUUCCUUCACUUUUUUGUUAGUUUCUCAUAGCGCAUUCAAUAUUUGACCGAUCUCUUAUAUAUUUGGCAUGUAGGUACCUUGCAUGGACCUCUACCUUUUGAUGAGGUUUGAGGUCACUGGGGUCAAGGUCACUGAGGCUUAUAUUAGAUUUUCUCAAGGUCUCACUUUUUUCCACACAAUUAACCCAUAUAUGGACAAAGCAUCAUUGGGGAGCAUCCAUAAGUUUUACUGAUAUCCUUGUUUAAAGAGGUAAAGAUUCGGCAUGGCAGUGUGCAGAAGGGUUAUGCCAUACUUUGAUAACUUAACUGUGACCCAUCUAAAUUAAACUUGGGAUGUUUCAUAUAGACUUAUACAGAUAAUGUUGGUCUAGGUUACUGGUUUCUUAAAUAUAGUUAAACAGUUUCCAGGUAUUAAUUUGACUUAUGAAGGAGAUAUUGAACUGAAAUGUUUUGAGUAGGUAGCUUGCACAAGGACCUAGCUUUGAAAUUUAUUUUUUGCUAAAGUUCAAUUUAAUAAAAGUAGAAAAAUAUUGCAAACUGGUGGUUUCCUGUCAAAAACUUAAAAUUGCAUUGAAAAUCUUUAUGAUUUUUAUGCAUGUAGCAGGCUUCUUAUGCAUUGAAAAAUUGUUAUGUUAUGUGUUCAUGUUUCUUGUGUUCAAAUAUUACAAUGUGUUCAUGUUUCUUUUGUUCAAAUAUUACACACCUAUGUUGUUUUGUUUUCAGCAUUUCACUUUUGGUGCAAAUGAAAUGCAUUGGUGCCAGUAUAUUGUAAAUAACUUUGUGUACAACUCAACAAGCAUGUGCCAUGUGAAAUGUCUGAAAAUUUGUCAACGCAUUGUAAAGUUGUUUCUGUUACAAUUUUCUCCACUUCAUUAUACUGUUAUAAAGCAAAAAAAAAAAAGACUUUGCUUGUAAUAUGUUUUUAACACUUCACAUGAAAACCUUACUGGAAUGGUAAAUGAAUGAUUCUCUCGAACUUAUCUACACAGCUCUUAAAAAACUUAUUGUCAUUGAGGAAUUCAAGUAAGGUUCCUUGUGAAGUCAUCAAGAUGAUGACGCUACAUUGUAAAUGUCAGCAUUAUCUGUUGCAUGAUUUCCUAGCAGAAACAAGACGUACACAAAAUGUGUGUGUGCAUUGCAAUGAUUAUUUGAAAAUCAAAUAAGGCUUUAAAACGUUUGUUGAUUUCACAGGGAAAGUCUUUAAUAUUUACACAUGCACGAUUUUGUAAGAAAUAAUGGAUAUUUGGUAUGAACGGAAAUAACUUUAAGCGUUUUAAUAAUAUUACAAUAUACAAAAUUAAGAUAGAUUUUUCCGCUUCCGGUCGUAUCAAAACACAAAAUAAGAUGAAGUAAAAUUUUUAUUUUUUUAGUGAUCUGAGUCAUAUUUUAUGGUGAAAUUGUGUGGAUAAAUGUGUAGGAUAAAGAGCAAAACGCAAGUAUGACAAUUAAGAAAACUACAUCAUAAAGACAUUAGUAGUUUGUUUGAAACUUUUUCUUCUACCGGUAUAAUGCGGCAGGUGGGGUAUCGAAUUUAUUUAACAAAAUUUAGAUUGGAAAACUGGUGUAGUACCUACCUACCAGUUUACAGUUAGUUCGUCACGCAUGACUGAACAGUUUAAUUGUCGAAUUACCUACCAAACAACAGUGUGACAAGCAAUUGAAAUUCAGUAAAUAGGUACAAAACGACAGAAGAUCAGUCGAGGGUGACCGAGCC